rnacentral:tRNA from 1 species
CGGCGCGCUGGUCGACGUCGACGACCCGGUGUUCCUGCCGCCGGGCGACAUGCCGGCGCGGAUCGCCGCCGCGUGCGCGGC